rnacentral:rRNA from 1 species
GACGAACGCUGGCGGCGUGCUUAACACAUGCAAGUCGAACGGAAAGGCCCGGCUCUUGUGGGUUUCUCGUUUGGCGAACGGGGGAGUAACACAUGAGUAACCUGCCCUUGUCUUUGUGAUAACUUCAGGAAACUGGGGCUAAUACCGGAUAGGAGCUCCUGCUCCAUGGUGGGGGUUGGAAAGUUUCGGCGGUUGGGGCUGGACUCGCUGCUUAUGAGCUUGUUUGUGUGGUAGUUGAUUACCAAGGUUUCGACGGGUAGCCGGCCUGGGAGGGUGACCGGCGACAAUAGGCCUGAGAUAGGGAGCAGUCGGGUACGGGAGGCAGCAGUGGGGAACAUUGCGCAAUGGGGGGGAGCGUGAUGCAGAAGCGCCGCGUGCGGGAUGCCGGCUUUUGAGUUGUAAACAGCUUUCGCAUGUGACGAAGCGUGAGUGACGGUAAUGGGUAAGGAAGCAACGGCUAACUACGUG